UGAUCUCUGUGUCUAAAAGGCAGAAGGCAGAUGGAAUCGCUCUGUCAAAUGGUGAUGUGGAUGACAAGUUUAGGAUCCCAGAUGUUGAAUAAAUUUUGAUCGGGCAGAUGAAGCAAAGUGGCGGGUAAAUUGCCAGCUCUGCUUUCUCUUUAUUUCACGUUGAAGAUACUUCAUGUUGAUAUUCUGCUGACUGUUGCGUCUGAUCUGUCGUGAUUUUUGUCUGUGAUAUAAACCAAGGGAGAUUGGUUAGCCGCCUUCUCCAAAUUCUGAGCUCUGGGAUGUUAUUUAAUGCCUUUCACUGACUAUUGAAUAAUCUAAAGCAGGUCUAUUUCUUUGGCUUUGGCUAAUAUAUAUCCGGACAUAGAUCGCUAA